rnacentral:rRNA from 1 species
GAGUAACACGUAGGCAACCUGCCCACAAGACAGGGAUAACUACCGGAAACGGUAGCUAAUACCCGAUACAUCCUUUUCCUGCAUGGGAGAAGGAGGAAAGACGGAGCAAUCUGUCACUUGUGGAUGGGCCUGCGGCGCAUUAGCUAGUUGGUGGGGUAAAGGCCUACCAAGGCGACGAUGCGUAGCCGACCUGAGAGGGUGAUCGGCCACACUGGGACUGAGACACGGCCCAGACUCCUACGGGAGGCAGCAGUAGGGAAUCUUCCGCAAUGGGCGAAAGCCUGACGGAGCAACGCCGCGUGAGUGAUGAAGGUUUUCGGAUCGUAAAGCUCUGUUGCCAGGGAAGAACGUCUUGUAGAGUAACUGCUACAAGAGUGACGGUACCUGAGAAGAAAGCCCCGGCUAACUACGUGCCAGCAGCCGCGGUAAUACGUAGGGGGCAAGCGUUGUCCGGAAUUAUUGGGCGUAAAGCGCGCGCAGGCGGCUCUUUAAGUCUGGUGUUUAAUCCCGAGGCUCAACUUCGGGUCNCACUGGAAACUGGGGAGCUUGAGUGCAGAAGAGGAGAGUGGAAUUCCACGUGUAGCGGUGAAAUGCGUAGAGAUGUGG